rnacentral:rRNA from 1 species
CAGCGCGAGAGAGCUUGCUCUCUUGGCGGCGAGUGGCGGCACGGGGUGAGUAAUAUAUCGGAACGUGCCCAGUAGCGGGGGAUAACUACUCGAAAGAGUGGCUAAUACCGCAUACGCCCUACGGGGGAAAGGGGGGGAUCGCAAGACCUCUCACUAUUGGAGCGGCCGAUAUCGGAUUAGCUAGUUGGUGGGGUAAAGGCGGGCCAAGGCAACGAUCCGUACUGGUUUGAGAGGACGACCAGCCACACUGGGGACUGAGACACGGCCCAGACUCCUACGGGAGGCAGCAGUGGGGAAUUCUGGACAAUGGGGGAAACCCUGAUCCAGCCAUCCCGCGUGUAUGAUGAAGGCCUUCGGGUUGUAAAGUACUUUUGGCAGAGAAGAAAAGGUAUCCCCUAAUACGGGAUACUGCUGACGGUAUCUGCAGAAUAAGCACCGGCUAACUACGUGCCAGCAGCCGCGGUAAUACGUAGGGUGCAAGCGUUAAUCGGAAUUACUGGGCGUAAAGCGUGUGUAGGCGGUUCGGAAAGAAAGAUGUGAAAUCCCAGGGCUCAACCUUGGAACUGCAUUUUUAACUGCCGAGCUAGAGUAUGUCAGAGGGGGGUAGAAUUCCACGUGUAGCAGUGAAAUGCGUAGAUAUGUGGAGGAAUACCGAUGGCGAAGGCAGCCCCCUGGGAUAAUACUGACGCUCAGACACGAAAGCGUGGGGAGCAAACAGGAUUAGAUACCCUGGUAGUCCACGCCCUAAACGAUGUCAACUAGCUGUUGGGGCCGUUAGGCCUUAGUAGCGCAGCUAACGCGUGAAGUUGACCG